UACGAUCACAUCACGUUGAAACAUUGGUUCCCGUAUGAUCACCGAAGCUAAGCAACGUCGAGCCUGGUCAGUACCUAGAUGGGUGACUUCUUAGGAAGACCAGGUACUGUAAG